GGCUCUAGAGGCAUAGCCAUCUCCUUUAGUUUGAUCAUUCAGGGACUGAGAAAGUGGAUGGAGAUUUUAGGCAACGGAUGUCUAUUCAUCUUAUCAGCAUUUACAAUCAACUGAUUUGUAAGAGGAAACGUACGAGUCCAGUGAUGAAUGUAAAUCUAGACAGCAAUAGUAGCUCUGCGUUCUUACUCUAGACAUUUUCUACUUUGACAACCUACGAGGGAGCAUAUAAAAGCGGCGAAGGAAAUGCAAGACAUCUGUAACAAAACCAGUGAGCAUGCUAUUGAUUUGUUUCCCUUGCUGGUGUGGUCCCAGCGUUGGACAGCUUUCUCCAGAGAAAUGAGUUACAUAAACAAGUCCGGUGGAGAACAUGAAAUUCCACUUCCAUUCAUCUUCUUGAUUUUGCAAGCACCACAUUCUGCAAACCCCAUGCCAGCAAAGGCUCUUGGAUCAGGCCUUGAAUUCUUUCUGGAUCCUUAAGGGAGGAGAUAUCGGAGCUGGCCAAGAAUCUAAGUGGAAACUGAUGACAGAAACUGACAUUAAUCAGCUCCACAGUAUGUUCUGCCCAGCAGGUUUCUUCCAAUAAAUCAAAGCCCUUGAAAUCUAAA